AGAGUUUGAUCAUGGCUCAGGACGAACGCUGGCGGCGUGCCUAACACAUGCAAGUCGAGCGGAGUUUAAUCAGUAGCGACUUCGGUCAAAACCGAUUAAACUUAGCGGCGGACGGGUGAGUAACACGUAGGCAACCUGCCCAUGACACGGGGACAGCUUCGGGAAACCGGAGGUAAUACCCGAUACCUUUACGUAUUGCAUAUUAUGUAAAGAAAGCGUUAGCGGUCAUGGAUGGGCCUGCGUCCCAUUAGCUAGUUGGUGAGAUAACAGCCCACCAAGGCAACGAUGGGUAGCCGACCUGAGAGGGUGACCGGCCACACUGGAACUUAGACACGGUCCAGACUCCUACGGGAGGCAGCAGUGGGGAAUUUUGCGCAAUGGGGGAAACCCUGACGCAGCGACGCCGCGUGAGCGAAGAAGGCCUUCGGGUCGUAAAGCUAAGUCAUUGGGGAUGAAAAAGACAGUACCCAAGGAGGAAGCCCCGGCUAACUACGUGCCAGCAGCCGCGGUAAUACGUAGGGGGCGAGCGUUGUCCGGAAUUACUGGGUGUAAAGGGCGUGUAGGCGGGGAUGCAAGUUAUCGGUUAAAACCCAAGGCUCAACCUUGGGCUUGCCGGUAAAACUGUGUCUCUUGAGUAUAGGAGAGGGAAGUGGAAUUCCCGGAGUAGCGGUGAAAUGCGUAGAUACCGGGAGGAACACCAGUGGCGAAGGCGGCUUCCUGGCCUAUUACUGACGCUGAGGCGCGAAAGCUAGGGUAGCGAACGGGAUUAGAUACCCCGGUAGUCCUAGCCGUAAACGAUGGUUACU
rnacentral:rRNA from 1 species